rnacentral:lncRNA from 1 species
GGAAAAAGUGGAAAAUACAUGCAAUACACACAACACUGCAUUUUCCAACUCCAAAGCACUUGAAAUGAAUCAUCACAGACCACCCACCAUCUUUCAGAUGCUUAGCUUAAACUCAAAAGUGUGGAAGUGUUCUUAAUAGCUUCAAGGUUAAUACUUUUCAAAUCCUGGGUCAGACUACCCUAGGGAGAAAGCAAAAGACACCCUAGUGACCUGGAAAUCCCACAGCCCCCAGGUGGCCUCUUUGCUGCUCCUCCACAUUCCACACAUUUCCCAGUCCGGCACCGUCUGACUCCACUGAAAGGGGGAGAGCCUCAAAACUGGAACUCAUGCAUAGACGCUCAUAUACAUGGGUAAUCGCAGAAGAAAACAUAGAAAAUGAUUGUCAUCAUUCUUGGGAAAGGUGAAUUAAAAUGCUAACACAGUUGAUAAUUUGCACUGGAAGAGAGGUUGCUGAGGCCGCCUGUACGUCUUUCUUUCACAGUCCCAUCCAGGAACACGAGCUGCUGCCCUCGGGAAGAAUCCAACAGCGGAAGUCCCAGCGAGCCAAGCUCCUGUGCGCGCAAUAAUCUACAUGGAAAUGGGAGCUGAUUGCAUCAUUAUUAAUUUUACAAGACAUAGGCUCAGUGGGCCCACCUGUUUCCUCAACUUCUUGUUUCCUGUGGGCAGGUGGCACCCUGGAGUCGGUCAGGGUGAGAUGGGAAUAAAACGGUGGAGAGAACCGCUGGAUGCCGGAACUGCUCAGGCUUCAGGCCCAGGCUGUACCCUGCCCACACCAUCCAGGUGGUUCCCAUCGGAAGCCGGGCAGGGCUGCAGCACAUCUGUCCCUACCUAUGAGUGUGUUUUCAGGCCUCCACUUCGGCUGGUUCUGAUUUAUGCCUAGCUCACUCCAGGCUCCCUAGAAGUGAACUUUGGUGAACUUGGUACACGUUCAUAACCAAACCUGAAAUUCCUGAAGUUUUGUCUGGGAUUCAAUUGGAAAAUGCAGAUGUAUCUUUCCAAGGUACAUGCUCCCAGCUAUGCUUAGUCAUCUGGCCCCAAUAUCUGUCAUGUGUAAUGCUAUGUGUUCCUGACUAACCAGCGUAUGUGAACGAACUGGAACUUAAGGACCAGCACCCUGAGAUGGGAUGCUUGUAGAACACCCCAGACUUCAAAGCGUGCACCGUAAAGGAAUUUCCAGGUAGAAGAAGAUUCUGUGCUGGUCCUUGGCCACAGCAUGGGUUAGUUGUUUGGAACAUUCUUCUAUCUCCAGUCUUCUACCUCCUUUCCAGCCCAUCCUACCAAAAGCGAGAUGCAAAGUCAGCCAAACUGAACACUGAGCAUCCUUUGUUCAUCUCCGAGUCCCAAAC